UACGUAGGGGCGCAAGCGUUGUCCGGAAUUAUUGGGCGUAAAGAGCUCGUAGGCGGUUUGUCGCGUCUGCUGUGGAAAACCUAAGGCUCAACCUUGGGACUUGCAGUGGGUACGGGCAGACUGAGAGUGCGGUAGGGGUGACUGGAAUUCCUGGUGUAGCGGUGGAAUGCGCAGAUAUCAGGAGGAACACCGAUGGCGAAGGCAGGUCACUGGGCCGCAACUGACGC
rnacentral:rRNA from 1 species